rnacentral:rRNA from 1 species
AUUGAACGCUGGCGGCAGGCCUAACACAUGCAAGUCGAACGAGUGGCGGACGGGUGAGUAAUGUAUGGGGAUCUGCCCGAUAGAGGGGGAUAACUACUGGAAACGGUAGCUAAUACCGCAUACUAUCGGAUGAACCCAGAUGGGCUUAGCUAGUAGGUGGGGUAACGGCUCACCUAGGCGACGAUCUCUAGCUGGUCUGAGAGGAUGACCAGCCAAACUGGAACUGAGACACGGCCCAGACUCCUACGGGAGGCAGCAGUGGGGAAUAUUGCACAAUGGGCGAAAGCCUGAUGCAGCCAGGCCGAGUGUAUGAAGAAGGCCUUAGGGUUGUAAAGUACUUUCAGCGGGGAGGCGUUACCCGCAGAAGAAGCACCGGCUAACUCCGUGCCAGCCGCCGCGGUAAUAC